rnacentral:hammerhead_ribozyme from 15 species
GCUGAGUCGAGCGGUCCCUACUGAUGAGGCUAUGGGAUUAGCCGAAACUGACC